GAUGAACGCUGGCGACGUGCCUAAUACAUGCAAGUAGAACGCUGAAGCUUGGUGCUUGCACCGAGCGGAUGAGUUGCGAACGGGUGAGUAACGCGUAGGUAACCUGCCUCUUAGCGGGGGAUAACUAUUGGAAACGAUAGCUAAUACCGCAUAAAAGUCGAUAUCGCAUGAUAUUGAUUUGAAAGGUGCAAUUGCAUCACUAAGAGAUGGACCUGCGUUGUAUUAGCUAGUUGGUGAGGUAACGGCUAACCAAGGCGACGAUACAUAGCCGACCUGAGAGGGGGAUCGACCACACUUGGACUGAGACACGGCCCAGACUCCUACGGGAGGCAGCAGUAGGGAAUCUUCGGCAAUGGGGGCAACCCUGACCGAGCAACGCCGCGUGAGUGAAGAAGGUUGUCGGAUCGUGAAGCUCUGUUGGAAGAGAAGAACGAGUGUGAGAGUGGAAAGUGCACACUGUGACGGUAACUGACCAGAAAGGGACGGCUAACUACGUG
rnacentral:rRNA from 1 species